CGUUUCUCUCUCGCUCUCUCUUACUUUCCGCCUCUUCCCGGCCUACAUCGCCGCCGCCCUUAAGCCCUAAAAAUCCCAUCCGUAGAGCAGUACACUUCCAUGACACUGAUUGUUUCAUCUAUUUCUAUCGAAUUCUGAGAAUGGUUGGCAGCUUCAAAGUUGUUAUGAAGGAAUUCAUUCUACUUAGAUUUGUCCUCCUCAGUUGCAACUAGUCACCCAGCUUGUGUUAAAUUUACAAGAAAAUGGAUCGCUGUGAUACUUCUGGAUUUGUUAGUGGGGG
rnacentral:misc_RNA from 1 species